rnacentral:rRNA from 1 species
GACCAAGCUACUAAGGGUAUGUGGUGGAUGCCUAGGCUCUAGGAGGCGACGAAGGACGUGGGUGGCUGCGAUAAGCCACGGGGAGCCGCCAACCAGGCUUCGAUCCGUGGAUGUCCGAAUGGGGAAACCCACGGCGGGUAAUGCCGCCGUAGCGUGCAGUAAAUUCAUAGCUGCACGCGGCAAACCCGGGGAAGUGAAACAUCUCAGUACCCGGAGGAAAAGAAAACAAGCAGUGAUUCCGUUAGUAGUGGCGAGCGAAAGCGGAUUAGCCCAAACCGGGUCGACGCGAGUCGACCUGGGGUUGCGGGGCCCGGUGGGGAUGACCCGGGAGUGAAGUUUCGAUAGGCGAGCCGUCUGGAAAGUCGGACCAUAGAGGGUGACAGUCCCGUAGCCGAAAUCGAAACGUAGCUCCUGAUCGGGUACCCAAGUAAGGCGGGACACGUGAAAUCCUGCCUGAAUCUGCGAGGACCAUCUCGUAAGGCUAAAUACUACCUAGAGACCGAUAGUGGACAAGUACCGCGAGGGAAAGGUGAAAAGAACCCCUGUGAGGGGAGUCAAAAGAACCUGAAACCGCAUACCUACAAGCAGUUCGAGGGCUAUGGCCGCAAGGCAAUGCCUGAGAGCGUACCUUUUGCAUCAUGAAUCGGCGACUUAAUGGUUGUGGCAAGCUUAAGGCGUUAGCCGGAGGCGAAGCGAAAGCGAGUCCGAAAUGGGCGCUAGUCGCGAUCAUUAUAACCCGAAGCUAGGUGAUCUACACAUGGUCAGGUUGAAGCGCGGGUAAAACCGCGUGGAGGACCGAACUCAUGGAGGUUGAAAACUUCUGGGAUGAACUGUGUGUAGGGGUGAAAGGCCAAUCAAACCUAGUGAUAGCUGGUUCUCCCCGAAAGAUAUUUAGGUAUCGGCUCGGAUAAUUCAGUUCAGGAGGUAGAGCACUGGAACGGCUAGGGGUCCUACCAGAUUACCAAACCGUACCAAACUCCGAAUGCCUGAAACUGUUACUCCGGGACGCAGUCAGUGGGUGAUAACAUUCAUUGGCGAGAGGGGAAUAACCCAGAUCGUCGGCUAAGGUCCCCAAGUCUAUGCUAAGUGUUCACAAAAAGGAUGUGACAGCGCUUUGACAAUCAGGAGGUUGGCUUAGAAGCAGCCAUCCUUUAAAGAUAGCGUAAUAGCUCACUGAUCAAGCGAAGUUGCGCCGAAAAUGUAUCGGGACUCAAGCAUAGCACCGAAGCCACGGGAAAGGGGUAGAUGAUGGCAAGCAGGUUAAUAUUCCUGCGCCGGCCUGUUGGACGUCGAACCAAGGGGGACGGAGAAAGUUAAGGGCCAAACCGCGGUUGUGUUGGUCCAAGGUCGUAGGAGUGCUCCGUACGAAUAAAGGCGGGGCAGUUAUCACCGAGAGCCGAUGCGAGCGCGUCAGCGCGAAGCCAGUGAUACCCGGCUUCCAAGAAAACCGCGUAGGGAGCCAGCGGUCAUCCGUACCGUAUACCGACACAGGUGGGUGAGGAUAAUAUCCUAAGGCGCCUGAGAGAACUCUCCUCCAAGGAACUAGGCAAAUUGACACCGUAACUUCGGAAGAAGGUGUGCCCAGUGUAGUGAAGGCGUACACCCGAAGCUGAAAUGGGUUGCAGAGAAUAGGGGGUAGCGACUGUUUACCAAAAACACAGGACUCUGCGAAGGCGAGAAGCCGACGUAUAGGGUCUGACUCCUGCCCGGUGCUGGAAGGUUAAGGGGAUCCGUCAGCGCAAGCGAAGCGGUGAUCCGAAGCCCCAGUAAACGGCGGCCGUAACUAUAACGGUCCUAAGGUAGCGAAAUUCCUUGUCCGGGUAAGUUCCGACCUGCACGAAAGGAGUAACGACUCCCACUGUCUCGGAGAGGGACUCGGCGAAAUUGAAAUAGCUGUGCCGAUGCAGUUUACCCGCAGAAAGACGGAAAGACCCCGUGAACCUUUACUACAACUUGACAGUGACACUAGGGAUUGGCUGUGUAGGAUAGGUGGGAGCCUUUGAAGCCGGGCCGCUAGGUUCGGUGGAGGCAACGGUGAAAUACCACCCUGCUGAUUUCUGGUGUCUAACCACGAUCCGUCAUCCGGGAUCGGGACACUGUCUGGUGGGUAGUUUGACUGGGGCGGUCGCCUCCCAAAGAGUAACGGAGGCGCGCGAAGGUUCCCUCAGCCUGAUUGGAAACCAGGCGUCGAGUGUAAUGGCAUAAGGGAGCUUGACUGCGAGACCGACAGGUCGAGCAGGUGCGAAACCAGGUCAUAGUGAUCCGGUGGUUCUGUAUGGAAGGGCCAUCGCUCAACGGAUAAAAGGUACUCCGGGGAUAACAGGCUUAUCGCGUCCAAGAGUUCACAUCGACGACGCGGUUUGGCACCUCGAUGUCGGCUCAUCGCAUCCUGGGGCUGGAGCAGGUCCCAAGGGUUUGGCUGUUCGCCAAUUAAAGCGGUACGCGAGCUGGGUUCAAAACGUCGUGAGACAGUUUGGUCCCUAUCUGCCGUGGGCGUAGGAGAAGUGAGAGGAUCUGUCCUUAGUACGAGAGGACCGGGAUGGACGUACCGCUGGUGUACCAGUUGUCACGCCAGUGGCAUCGCUGGGUAGCCAUGUGCGGAUUGGAUAACCGCUGAAAGCAUCUAAGCGGGAAACCGACCUCAAGAAUUGGCCUCCCGGGGGCAACCCCCUGAAGACCCGUCGUAGACUACGACGUUGAUAGGCCGGGUGUGUAAGUGCAGCAAUGCAUUGAGCUAACCGGUACUAAUUGGUCGUUCGGCUUACUUUA